AUGUGCCCCUCCUGCUCUUGGACGGAUCCCGGGGCACUUGCAGCCACACGGGGCUCCGAGCAGGACGGGGCGGCCCCUCCUCGGCCCACCCCAGGGACACGCCCGGCCCGCGGCCCCCCAGGGCGUCCAGCUACGUCCUCUGUGUCCCGCGCCUGCUUCUCCUCCCCAGGGACCUCAUGCAUCCCCGUCACGCGGCAGGGAUGCGGCUGUGAGGACGGGGGAGCCAAGAACCGGGCCGCCGCUCCGCGUGGUCGACAUGGCGUGGGAGCGUCCACCGUGGGCACGUCGGACCUCAGCCAAACCCCCACCCACGGGCGCGUCAGUGGACGUCACACACGCAGUGCCCCCCGCCUCCGAGCCAGGCCGACACCCCUGCCUGGGCGUGUGGCUCGCAGCCCCGGGCACCGCGCUGUGCAUGGGACGCUGCCUCCAGGUGGGCCUGUGAUCCCGGCUACGGGCCUGCAGCUGAGCAAACAGUGGCGGGGCCCUGGGGGCUCUGGGGCCGCAGAGCUCAGCCCACACGGACACCAAAGCCCCGCGGCACGGCCCUGUGGGGAGUCUCACGCGGCCACGGCGAGCGGUGCGGCCCUCGGGCCGGCGGGGAACAGCGGGCAAGGCCGUGAGGUCCUCCCCCGCGAGGGUCCCGGCCUCAGCCUCCUGGACCCAAGCUCCGCGGCCCCAGCUUGGCCGUCCCCGAAUACCGCGUCCCCAAGACGCCAUCCUGUCUCCCGCGGGCCCAGCAGACGCGUGGAUCGGCGCCGCGUCCGAGGGUCGGGCUCGGGGCCACACCCUCCUCCGUGGAAGCCGAGCCCGGGCUGUGUGCGCCGUGAAGGCCGUGGGCAGAGGGACCCAGGGCUCCAGCUGCAGGAGGGGCCGGGGCGGGGGCCGCGCAGGGGGAAGGUGAGCGGGGAAGCCGGAGGCGAGGCUGUGCUGCUGGCGCGGCCACUCUGGCUCCCGAGAGCUGACGUCUCCCUGGGGCCACGCAGUCGGCGCGCUGGGACACCCCCUGCCUCCUGUUCCUGGCGGGCGGGACCCCGUCCUGUGCAAAACCUGUCCUGGUGUUUGUGA
rnacentral:lncRNA from 1 species